UACGUAGGGUGCGAGCGUUAAUCGGAAUUACUGGGCGUAAAGUGUGCGCAGGCGGCCAUGCAAGUCGAGUGUGAAAGCCCCGGGCUUAGCUUGGGAAUUGCGCUCGAAACUACGUGGCUGGAGUGUGGCAGAGGAAGGUGGAAUUCCACGUGUAGCGGUGAAAUGCGUAGAGAUGUGGAGGAACACCAAUGGCGAAGGCAGCCUUCUGGGCAAACACUGACGCUCAUGCACGAAAGCGUGGGAGCAAACAGG
rnacentral:rRNA from 1 species